rnacentral:rRNA from 1 species
CUUACACAUGCAGUCGCACGAGAACACUCAGCUUGCUGGGGUAAGUACAGUGGCGCACGGGUGAGUAACGCGUGGGUAAUCUGCCCCUGAAUCUGGGAUAACGCUGCGAAAGCGGUGCUAAUACCGGAUGACAUCGAAUUGACUUCGGUUGAUUGGAUCACAGGUAGCCACUCCAUGGAAGCUACUGUNUGGGGAUGAGCCCGCGUACCAUUAGCUUGUUGGUAAGGUAACGGCCUACCAAGGCGACGAUGGUUAGCUGGUCUGAGAGGAUGAUCAGCCACACUGAAACUGGAACACGGUCCAGACUCCUACGGGAGGCAGCAGUGAGGAAUUUUGCGCAAUGAGGGAAACCUUGACGCAGCAACGCCGCGUGAGUGAUGAAGGCUUUCGGGUCGUAAAGCUCUGUCAAGUGGGAAGAAAUCCCGGGAAGUAGAACAGUUUUUCGGGUUGACGGUACCACUGAAGGAAGCACCGGCUAACUCCGUGCCAGCAGCCGCGGUAAUACGGAGGGUGCGAGCGUUAUUCGGAAUUACUGGGCGUAAAGGGCGCGCAGGCGGUCAUGUAAGUCAGAUGUGAAAGCCCGGGGCUUAACCCUGGAAGUGCAUAUGAAACUGUGUGACUUGAGUAUGGGAGAGGGAAGCGGAAUUCCUAGGUGUAACGGUGAAAUGCGUAGAUAAUCAGGAGGAACACCCGUGGCGAAGGCGGCUACCUGGACCAAUACUGACGCUGAGGCGCAAAGGCGUGGGGAACAAACAGGAUUAGAUACCCUGGUAGUCCACGCAGUAAACGGUGAUCACUAGGUAGAGCGGGUAUUGAC